rnacentral:rRNA from 1 species
AUUGAACGCUGGCGGCAUGCCUUACACAUGCAAGUCGAACGGCAGCACGGGAGCAAUCCUGGUGGCGAGUGGCGAACGGGUGAGUAAAGUAUCGGAACGUGCCCAGUCGUGGGGGAUAACGUAGCGAAAGUUACGCUAAUACCGCAUACGAUCUAUGGAUGAAAGCGGGGGAUCGCAAGACCUCGCGCGAUUGGAGCGGCCGAUAUCAGAUUAGGUAGUUGGUGGGGUAAAGGCUCACCAAGCCGACGAUCUGUAGCUGGUCUGAGAGGACGACCAGCCACACUGGGACUGAGACACGGCCCAGACUCCUACGGGAGGCAGCAGUGGGGAAUUUUGGACAAUGGGCGCAAGCCUGAUCCAGCCAUGCCGCGUGCAGGGUGAAGGCCUUCGGGUUGUAAACUGCUUUUGUACGGAACGAAAAGGUUUGACUUAAUACGUUGGACUCAUGACGGUACCGUAAGAAUAAGCACCGGCUAACUACGUGCCAGCCGCCGCCGUAAUAC